rnacentral:rRNA from 1 species
GACGUAGGAGGCGAGCGUUAUCCGGAUUCACUGGGCGUAAAGCGCAUGUAGGCGGUUGGAUAAGUCCGUUGUUAAAGCCCUGGCUCAACUGGGGGAGUCAAUGGAGACUAUUCGACUUGAGGGCAACAGAGGCACAUGGAACUCCCGGUGUAGCGGUGGAAUGCGUAGAGAUCGGGAAGAACACCCGUGGCGAAGGCGGUGUGCUGGGUUGCAACUGACGCUGAGAUGCGAAAAGUGUGGGGAGCAAACGGGGAUUAAGAAAACCCUGG